rnacentral:tRNA from 1 species
UAAAAGGUCGGGAUAGCUCAGUUGGAGAGCAG